rnacentral:lncRNA from 1 species
UUCGCUAUUUCAUCUCUCCUAGAGAUUGUACAGGAAUCCUCUCUCGUGUAAACAACCAUUGCUGUACUCCCUUUGAUCAUCUCCUCUUCUUCGUUGCCUUCUCCUCGAUGCCUUUUAAACUCAAACUUUUUAGGGGCUAUUAUUGAAUAACAGUGAUUAUCUAAAAAUGCUACCAUCUGAAAGAAGAAAAUGAUGAAAGAAAAUGUUUAUCCUCAACGGCAGAGAUGGGGAUGUCGAGAAGCUCUACUUGUCCGAAGGAAGAAAACGAAGAAAAUGUUGGUCGUCAGAGUGAAGGGAAGACGAAGUGGUAUAUUGGGAGAG